CCAAUAGCGUAUAUUAAAGUUGUUGCAGUUAAAAAGCUCGUAGUUGAACUUCGGGGUUUACCCAUUGGUCAGGCUUAAUUGUCUGUACUGGUGAGAUAAAUCUCUACCUUCUGAGGAACUUUCAUGCCAUUUAUUUGGUGUGAUUGGAAAUCAGGACUAUUACUUUGAAAAAAUUAGAGUGUUUAAAGCAGGCUAACGUCUGAAUAUAUUAGCAUGGAAU
rnacentral:rRNA from 1 species